GACGAACGCUGGCGGCGUGCCUAAUACAUGCAAGUAGAACGCACAGUUUAUACCGUAGCUUGCUACACCAUAGACUGUGAGUUGCGAACGGGUGAGUAACGCGUAGGUAACCUGCCUGGUAGCGGGGGAUAACUAUUGGAAACGAUAGCUAAUACCGCAUAAUAUUAAUUAUUGCAUGAUAAUUAAUUGAAAGGUGCAAUUGCACCACUACCAGAUGGACCUGCGUUGUAUUAGCUAGUAGGUGAGGUAACGGCUCACCUAGGCGACGAUACAUAGCCGACCUGAGAGGGUGAUCGGCCACACUGGGACUGAGACACGGCCCAGACUCCUACGGGAGGCAGCAGUAGGGAAGCUUCGGCAAUGGACGAAAGUCUGACCGAGCAACGCCGCGGGAGUGAAGAAGGUUUUCGGAUCGUAAAGCUCGGUUGUAAGAGAAGAACGGGUGUGAGAGUGGAAAGUUCACACUGUGACGGUAUCUUACCAGAAAGGGACGGCUAACUACGUG
rnacentral:rRNA from 1 species